rnacentral:misc_RNA from 1 species
GAAGUCUGAUGGGGAAGGCUCCAAGGAGAAUACGAACCUGAAACCUUUGAAGAAAGGUCAACCUAGUAAAUCAGAAGGAGAGUCGGAAUCUUCUUUAAGUCCCAGAGCAGGAGAUGAAAAACCAAAUAGGGUUGGGAGACUUCCUAACUAUGGUUUUAGUUUUAGAUGCAAUGAGCGUGCUGAGAAAAGAAGAGAGUUCUAUUCGAAACUUGAGGAAAAGAUACAAGCUAAGGAAGUAGAAAAGAACACUUUACAGGCAAAAUCCAAGGAAACUCAAG